ensembl:lncRNA
GUGUUUUUCACGUACACUAACGGGGGCGGGCUCUCCCUCUGCAUAUUCAUAAUAGCUUGAAAUCAAGGAGAGACAAUAUACUUGAUGCUAAUACAAAACAAUCAGAAUAGGAGCAGUACAGACAUUAUUUACAUUAGAAACAAUCAUGAAGAGGAUUGAAGGUUUAUAAUGAGGCAGUGGUCAGGAACAGCUGACUCCCUCCUACACACACACCAAAAUACAUUUGCAUUAUUCCCUCCUCUCCAUCCUGCAUCCAUCCUUCUCCUUAGCCCUUGUGUCACCCCUCCCUCUCCCAGCAUCCUAUUGGACCAUCUGUCCUGUCAGACUAGUUGUCCAGCUGCGAUCAGGGGAUGCUAGCAGCCUUGUUAAUGUAGCAGCUGACCCGGUAUAAUGACGGAAGUUCCGGCAGCCAAAGCGGAGUGACAUGACAGGUUCU